AUCAAAUGUUGUCCAUGCAUCAACUCAUGAACCGUUCAACCAAAGCUUUUUAAAUUUUAAUAUGUUGUUACUGACAACUAAAUGAAGGUCAAGUUUAAUAAUGGCGAUUUUGACUUUACCGUUCAGAGUUAUGGUUCUUGAAAGAUUGAAAAAUGGAGUUUCCAGUCGUGUCCGUGCAUUUACGCAUGAACUGUUCUACCAAAGCUUACCAAAUUUUAAUAUAUUGUUAUUGAUGACAAAAUAGAGGUCAAGUUCAAUAGUGACGAUUUUGACUUUUACCGUUCAGGAGUUAUGGUUCUUGAAAGAUCGUAAAAUGGCGUUUCCAUUCACGUUGUUGCAUUUACUAAUGAACCAUUCAAUCUAAGCUUUUCUAAUUUUAAUAUGUUGAUACUGACUACAAAAUGGAGGUCAAAAUUUGUAUUGACGAUUUUCACUUUCAGCAUUCAUCAGUUAUGGUUCUUGUGAUAUUGCCAGGACACAAAUAAAUGUUAAUAAAUCCGGUUUGCUGUCGUUGUGACAGCCUCUUGUUAUUGAAUUAGAAGAUAAUUUUAAUGAAUAUCAUUAUUUAAAAGCAAAUUU
rnacentral:lncRNA from 1 species